rnacentral:rRNA from 1 species
UGGGGAAUAUUGCACAAUGGGCGCAAGCCUGAUGUAGCCAUGCCGCGUGUGUGAAGAAGGCCUUCGGGUUGUAAAGCACUUUCAGCGGGGAGGAAGGCGUUAAGGUUAAUAACCUUGGCGAUUGACGUUACCCGCAGAAGAAGCACCGGCUAACUCCGUGCCAGCAGACGCGGUAAUACGGAGGGUGCAAGCGUUAAUCGGAAUUACUGGGCGUAAAGCGCACGCAGGCGGUCUGUCAAGUCGGAUGUGAAAUCCCCGGGCUCAACCUGGGAACUGCAUUCGAAACUGGCAGGCUAGAGUCUUGUAGAGGGGGGUAGAAUUCCAGGUGUAGCGGUGAAAUGCGUAGAGAUCUGGAGGAAUACCGGUGGCGAAGGCGGCCCCCUGGACAAAGACUGACGCUCAGGUGCGAAAGCGUGGGGAGCAAACAGG